AUAAUAUUCUGCCUCUGUAAAUCUGCCUACCCAUGCCAGAACUUCACUUUGCACUAGGGAUGGGAGUAAGGAGAGAAUUGGCUGGUAUCCUAGUAUCCAGGCCACAAUGGGUAUGUUAUGGGCAAGAGGAAUGAGAUCUGGGUUUACUCAAUGUUUUCUCAAAUGUUCAUCAUCUAGGCCCACUGGACAUAAUGGUAUUAUGUAUGGGUAAGUUAUGGAAAUGAGUUUAGAAUAACUCAAAGAAAGGGAGCUAUAUUCCAACCGUGGAUCUUUCAAUUGCAACAAAUACAACAUAAACAUAUUAAGAGAUUUGUUUUUCAAUAUUCAAUAAUAUAUUACUUUGAGCACCAUAAUACUUUUUUUCCUACUGUUUUCUAAUAAUACAUUUUGUGGAGAAAUGUCACAAUUGAGGUUUCAGUAUAGUCUUUUUUUUUAAUUUUUUUAAUGUUUAUUUAUUUUUGAGAGAGCGAGCGAGCAUGAGUGGGGGAGGGGCAGAGAGAGAGAGAGGGAGACAUAGAACCUAAAGCAGGCUCCAUGCUCCGAAUUGUCAGCACAGAGCCUGACGCGGGCUCUAACUCACAAACCCGUGAGAUCAUGACCUGAGCCAAAGUCGGUUGCUUAACCCACUGAGCCACCCAGGCGCCCCUAGAGUCAUUUUUUAAAUGCCAACCCAAGUUUGGCAAAAGACUUGAGGGAAGUGUCUUACAUAAAAGGAAAACACUGGAGAAAAAAGGUUCAAAGAAAACAUACCUAAAUCUUAAUUUGCUAUCAAGUAAGCUGAUAAAAAGAACAUCCAGACUUUUGAUAAAUUCCCCAGUAAAAAAAAAAAGGAAACAAAGAAAAAAGAAAAAAAAUCUAAAAUUGCUGUGGAUUGACCCAACAAAGAUUCAGGUUUUCAUCAUUCUACUUAUCUAUCACAACUUUGGCUGGAAGCUAUACUCCACACAGUCAGUCACAUGGACACUAGGCUGACAUAAGCAUUUUCUUAUACUUGCACCUCUGGGACAUCUAGUCACCUGGAUCUGUGCAUCAGGAGAAGGAACAACUGGAGAGGUAUGUGCCAGCUCUUUUUCGCUUCUCCUGUAAUUAAUACACAUCAUUCUACCUACAACUCAGUUCUGAAAUUUCUCAUAUCAUGAUCCUCAACCAAUCACAUUAAAGUUGAAAAAUAUGGGAGAAACUGUGAAUAUUUGUUUACCAUCUUAUUUCUGACACAACAAUUAAGACAAAGGAAGUAGGACCAGGUGUAGUAAGUCUCUUCAGUUAUAACACCAUAUCAUCUUAUAUUUUUAUAUCAUGUAAUCCUCACCUUUACUGGCUUAUGAACCUUAUAAAAUUAUAUCACAAACCUUUAGGUUUUCCACAUAUCUUUUUAUUUUUUAUUUUUACUUUUUAAAGUUUAUUUUGAGAGACAGAGAGAGAGUGCAAGCAGGGGAGAGCCAGAGAGAGAGGGAGAGAGAAAACCCCAAGCAGGUCCUGCUCUGUCAACAUGAGGCCCAACUCGUGGCACAAACUCACAUACUGCAAGAUCAUGACCUGAGCUGAAAUCAAGAGCCAGAUGCUUAACCGACCAAGCCACCCAGGCACCCCAGUGCUUUCCACAUAUCUUUAUAUGCAUUCAGGAUGCAGUUUAUUUGCAUCAAACCAAUCCAUAUACACUUAAUCUUCCUAGUCACACAUCCACAGGAACCUUUCUCAACUUGAAUUUUUAGAAAUGUGCAUUUUGUUCUCUUCCACUAUGCUAUCUCUAGACACAGAAUAAAAUGUCUUAAGUUCUGGACCA
rnacentral:lncRNA from 1 species